rnacentral:lncRNA from 1 species
GCUGAUGCUUCUCUGAGCUACCUGGCUCUGGGAGUGCCGUCUGGUCAGACUAAUAAAGGUCUUUUUACCAUCUAGCCUGGUUUGUUCCUUCCUGGGUGACUCUCGUUCCUCUGUCGAGCUCCCAGAGCCAUCAUUUGGGUUUUGGGCCUCAUUAUCGUGGAGGCCUUUUGGCUGUUCCUGCUCCAUGGAGUGAAAGUGAGACUUUAGGUCUUACGAUACACCAUUUGCCUAGCAUGCAUGACCCCCCCCUUUUUAAAAUUUAUUUCAUUUUUUUGCGAUGAAGGAUCAUAUUUACUCUGGACUCAUUCCUUGGUCUUUGUCUGCUCGUUGUUCUUGCUCUUAGCUUCUGCAAUAUUAAAUGAAACCAAGAGAGAUAAUAAUGGCACUACAGCUACAGAAGACUCACCUCCUGCCAAGAAAACUCAUAAAUACCAGAGACAGAGAGUAAAAAAGGAGCCUGUGGCUGGAGGAAAGGCUGAUAAGGGCAGGACAGAAGACACGCAAGGCAAACCUGUGAAGUCAUUGCUGUUAAAGGUAAAAGCUCCUGUGGACCCAGAGUGUACAGCCAAGGUGGGAAAGGUGAGACUCUGAGACCUAGUCUCAGUCCCUUGUGUUCCCUGAGUACAGUGUCCUUUUGUUUU